rnacentral:rRNA from 1 species
CCGAUAUGGGCGUAAAGAGCUCGUAGGCGGUUUUUUAGUCGGAUGUGAAACCCGGGGCUAACCCCGGAACUGCAUUCGAUACUGCCAAACUAGAGUUUGGUAAGGGAAGUUGGAAUUCCCGGUGUAACGGUGAAAUGCGUAGAUAUCAGGAAGAACACCAGUGGCGAAAGCCGCCCCCUGGGCCAUAACUGACGCUUAAGAACGAAAGCCUGGGGAGCAAACAGGAUUAGAUACCCUGGUAGUCCACGCCGUAAA